CCCAUUGAACCCGCCUGCAAACGCGCCUAUAUUGGGCGUGUCUGGCAACAGACUAUGAACAUAAACGCGCUCGUAAUACGCGGAUCGGACCCGGGGGCGGUACCCGGCCACUCCACCAAUACCCCCGCUCAUUUGGCGGCCUUGGGGUGGAAAUAGGAUCGACGAACGUCUAAAGGGGUUAGCUUUGUUUCGGCGGUCUGCCACCGUUACCGGCGAAAACAGUACAAUUGCAAAUGACAAUCGUGCUCCGAUGGCUCUUGCCGCGUAAGCGGUCGGAAAUAUCGAAACUUAAGCCCUUGCGCCUAGCAGCGUAAGGCGGGGUUCGCAGGCACCUGGCAACAGAAGCCUGCACA
rnacentral:tmRNA from 1 species